UACGUAGGUCCCGAGCGUUGUCCGGAUUUACUGGGUGUAAAGGGCGUGUAGGCGGGAGAGCAAGUCAGACGUGAAAUUCCAGGGCUCAACCCUGGAACUGCGUUUGAAACUGUUCUUCUUGAGUGAUGGAGAGGCAGGCGGAAUUCCGUGUGUAGCGGUGAAAUGCGUAGAUAUACGGAGGAACACCAGUGGCGAAGGCGGCCUGCUGGACAUUAACUGACGCUGAGGCGCGAAAGCGUGGGGAGCAAACAGG
rnacentral:rRNA from 1 species